rnacentral:rRNA from 1 species
AUAUCCAAACAGCAAUAAUGUGCUCUACCGGAAAUUCUGUAAAACUAGUACUCAAAUUAAUUUAGUUCUAAUGUAAACUUGGCUCUGAUUUAUUAUAUGACAAAGACUAAAGAACACACAUGGUUUUUAUAGAAGGAGGCGAGGUAGGUAUAGCAAUGUAUUUAAAUAUAAAAUUUAUCAUUCCAUUUAUAUCCUAAAAUAUUAUAUGUAUAAAAAAUGUUUUGAAAAGUCCCGCUAACUCCAGUGUUGAAGGUUAAGAAAAAAGUGUAAACUUGUAUUAAUUUAGUCAACUAAAUUUGGUUAAUUUGGUGCCAGCAUCCGCGGUUACACCAAAAAAUUAAGUCAUAUUUCUAUGGUGAAAAGAUAGUUAAAUAACUAAUUAUGAGGCCUGUUAAUUUUUUAUAUAGAAGUAAAAUUCAAGUAUAAAAAUUUAAUCUAGAUAAAGCCUAUAUAUUGAAUCUAUGACAUCCUCAAGGGAAACUGGGAUUAGAUACCCCAUUAUUUUUGGAUAUAAAUCAAUUAAUUAAUUAAUUUACCAGAGUACUAUGAAUCAUGUAAAAUUUAAAACUCAAAGGGCUUGGCGGUGUUUUAGACUAUUUAGGGGAACUUGUCUCAUAAACGAUAAUCCACGUUAAACCUGACUCUUUUUUGCCCACAGUUUGUAUACCGUCGUCGGCAGGUAACUUUUAAAAAACUAGUAGUUAGCAAAAAAGUAAUAUAAACUGUAACGUCAGAUCUAGGUGCAACCUAUAAAAGAGGGAAGAUGAGUUACAAUUAUAAAUUUAUAAACACGGACUAAUUUAAAAAAAUUAAAUUAUAAAGGAGGACUUAAAAGUAAAUUAUAUAUUAUAUAAACAAUUUGAACAAAGCUCUGAAACGUGCACACAUCGCCCGUCGCUCUCGUUGAAAAAUGAGAUAAGUCGUAACAUAGCAGGGGUAAUGGAAAUUGCCCCUAGAUG